AGUGAACGCUGGCGGUAGGCCUAACACAUGCAAGUCGAACGGCAGCACAGGAGAGCUUGCUCUCUGGGUGGCGAGUGGCGGACGGGUGAGGAAUACAUCGGAAUCUACUCUGUCGUGGGGGAUCACGUAGGGAAACUUACGCUAAUACCGCAUACGACCUACGGGUGAAAUCAGGGGACCUUCGGGCCUUGCGCGAUUGAAUGAGCCGAUGUCGGAUUAGCUAGUUGGCGGGGUAAAGGCCCACCAAGGCGACGAUCCGUAGCUGGUCUGAGAGGAUGAUCAGCCACACUGGAACUGAGACACGGGCCAGACUGCUACGGGAGGCAGCAGUGGGGAAUAUUGGACAAUGGGCGCAAGCCUGAUCCAGCAAUACCGCGUGGGUGAAGAAGGCCUUCGGGUUGUAAAGCCCUUUUGUUGGGAAAGAAAUCCUGCUGGCUAAUACCCGGUUGGGAUGACGGUACCCAAAGAAUAAGCACCGGCUAACUUCGUGCCAGCCGCCGCUGUAA
rnacentral:rRNA from 1 species